UAUAUACUUCCUCCGUCCGGAAAUACUUGUCGGGGAAAUGGAUGUAUCUAGAUAUAUUUUAGUUCUAGAUACAUCCGUUUUCAUUCAUUUAUCCCACAAGUAUUUCCGAACGGAAGGAGUAUAAC
rfam:Triticum aestivum genome assembly, contig: Triticum_aestivum_CS42_TGACv1_scaffold_578966_7BL